rnacentral:rRNA from 1 species
CAACUUUCAACAACGGAUCUCUUGGUUCUGGCAUCGAUGAAGAACGCAGCGAAAUGCGAUAAGUAGUGUGAAUUGCARAAUUCAGUGAAUCAUCGAAUCUUUGAACGCACAUUGCGCCCCUUGGUAUUCC